AGUCAGAUUUUAUUGGAUUGCUGCAAAUUUUAUAUUUUCCAGACACUGUAAUAUUUUAAUUUGAGGUAAGUUAAUACUUUCUUUCGACAUUUCAUUUAUUUAUCACACAUUACAUUUUCAGCCAAUAUAGGGUGCAGAGCUACUAGGCACUUCCAUGAUUCAUUUUGGCAUCGGGGUUUAUUCUCGGCCGAAUUGUCUGAAACUCUGCAAAAAGAAGCAAUUCAAUAGAACGCAUAUUGUGCCCAAAUAUGAGCUCAGUAGCUUUCAAAAAACCCACUGCCGAAGUGAAUCAAAAGUGCCAAGAAUAGGAUCCGGCUCCCUAUAUAACGGAGAAAUGGAAAAUAUAUUUAAAGCGGCUGAUAGAAAACUAUCGCACAAGCAGAAGGAUGUGCCAUCCGGGUGAUUCAGCCACAACAACAGCUGAUGAUAUUCGAUGUGAACUAUAGAACCAAGGAACUACCCACGGAUGUAAUUUCUUCAACCGUAACACAAAAUUCUACAACAUCACAAAUAGACAAAUGAAGUGAUUUGAUAAACAUGGUUAAUAAUCACAUAAGAAGCUAAUUUUGUAAUAAACAAGAAAACAUUAAUAAAAAAGGCCUUUUGCAUCAUUGGUUAAGGGCAAUUAAAUUAAAAAAAAUGGUUUAUUGAAUCAACAAUUAUUAUUUUUUGUUUCUAUAUGACUCAUUCAGUUACUUCAAUAAAACGUUUUUAUAGAUCCAACAAACCGAUAUUAUUGUUUCAAAAAAUAUAUUUUUUGUAUUUGACAGUUAGCUGCUUGGAUGCAUUUUUAGAAACAACAAUAUUUAUUGUAGGAAUAAAUGAGCAUAUUUAUUGAAACAAUAAAAAAUACUGGUAAGCCGUGAGUCUACAAUAAAAUUUGUUGAAUCUAUACAGAAUUCUUUUGCAUUUACAAUAUAUUUCUCUGCGUGCAGUCAUUCCUCCGAUCAUUCCCACACACAUUUCUGAUCAGAUUUCAACCGAUAAUUUCCUAGAUAUCCUUGCAUGAUAUUAUCCAGAGACUUGAUUAAUUAUUUGUUUCAAUUAUAUUAGGAAUUUGUUUAGGAAAUGCACUAAGAUUUCUUCAAAAGUCCAGGAUUUCUUACAAAGAAUCUUGUCGGUGUUUAGCAAGAGGUAUUUUAGCACUUAAUCAUGUUUUAUCAGAUGUUACUUUAGAUAUUCCUUCUCAAAUGCCUCCCAGAUUAAGCUAAAGCUAUCAGUACACACUUUGUCAUACAGUAUUGGACAAAACAUUUGCAAUUUUUUCGAUUUUCUAUACAAAAUGGUCAUCUUACACCUUAGAGAAUUGAACCCGCUUUGGUCAACAUCAAUACACAGCAAAAAAAGUUGUUGAAUAUUACAUCUAAACCGCUGCAACCAAAUCAACUGUGCGGUUUUACACAGCACGAUGUACUGCCGAGCUUUUGAUGUGAUGAUUGGAAACGAUGUAAUAUAUCCGACUAUGUAAUCCAAGCGAUAUAGUAGGAAAGCGAUGUAUUCGAAGAUAUUUUAAAUUAUUACAAAUCUGCCUAAUUAUUGAAUGAAUAACUUUUUAUCAUUUUGUGUUUGAAAAUAAUAAUUGCUGACAGAGUUAUUACAAUGUAUAACAUUUAAUCAGAAUUUAGUUCGAAAAAAAGAUAAAAAGCGAUUUAUUAAACCAGUUAAUAGUCUCUAACUUUUAUUUGCAUAACUGCAGGUGUGUAUUGAAAUAUAAAUUAUUAAUUUUAAGUAAUUUAUUUGCACGUAUUACAAUGUAAUCCAUUUGAUGUACAAUAAUCAUAAAAAUUAUAGGCUGUAUACUCAUGCAGAUGGAAUGCCGCUUCAGUCCGCGGGUUGGACCUUGAUGUAGAGAACGCGAUAUGUCCGAUAACAUAUCCGCACCAUUUGUUAAAUAUGAUCUGAAAAAAAUAAGAAAUAAUUAAAAUAAACACAAUUAUUUGUA